GAGUGGCGCUGGGUAAGCACAGCAUGCAGAGCCGCCCCGCAUUGGCCUCCAGCAAACCCUAGGUCGAAAGUCCUGGACACUGUCAAAUGUUUCAGUGUCAAAAACAUAAAGAUUUGGAAGGGCAAACGAGACCAAAUUAGAUGUGCUUAUACAUCAGACUGCAUCCAAAAGCAUCGACCAGAACAAUAUGCGUGGUGUGGUGUUGAAGGUGGUGCUCGGUUUGACAGUAACUUCAGUUCCAGGGGCUCUACCACCCACUUCUCAACUCGGAGCACGAACAUGAAUAUUGAUGAGGCUUUUCGUGACGUAAAGGUGGUGAACUCAAUGAAGAGAACAGUCUGUGUUGGCUGCAUAUUUGAGUCUGUUGGUUGGUGACCGUGAAUUAAAG